GUGCCAGCAGCCGCGGUAAUUCCAGCUCCAAUAGCGUAUAUUAAAGUUGUUGUGGUUAAAAAGCUCGUAGUUGAACCUUGGGCCUGGCUGGCCGGUCCGCCUCACCGCGUGCACUGGUCCGGCCGGGCCUUUCCCUCUGUGGAACCCCAUACCCUUCACUGGGCGUGGCGGGGAAACAGGACAUUUACUUUGAAAAAAUUAGAGUGCUCCAGGCAGGCCUAUGCUCGAAUACAUUAGCAUGGAAUAAUAAAAUAGGACGCGCGGUUCUAUUUUGUUGGUUUAUAGGACCGCCGUAAUGAUUAAUAGGGACAGUCGGGGGCAUCAGUAUUCAACUGUCAGAGGUGAAAUUCUUGGAUCAGUUGAAGACUAACUACUGCGAAAGCAUUUGCCAAGGAUGUUUUCAUUAAUCAGGAACGAAAGUUAGGGGAUCGAAGACGAUCAGAUACCGUCGUAGUCUUAACCAUAAACUAUGCCGACUAGGGAUCGGACGGUGUUAUUCAUGACCCGUUCGGCACCUUACGAGAAAUCAAAGUGCUUGGGCUCCAGGGGGAGUAUGGUCGCAAGGCUGAAACUUAAAGAAAUUGACGGAAGGGCACCACCAGGGGUGGAGCCUGCGGCUUAAUUUGACUCAACACGGGGAAACUCACCAGGUCCAGACACAAUAAGGAUUGACAGAUUGAGAGCUCUUUCUUGAUUUUGUGGUGGUGUGCAUGGCCGUUCUUAGUUGGUGGGGUGACUUGUCUGCUUAAUUGCGAUACGACGAGACCUUACCUGCUAAAUAGCCCGCAUUGCUCAGCAGUGCGCUGCUUCUUAGAGGGACUUCGCUCAAGCCGAAGAAGUUUGAGGCAAUAACAGGUCUGUGAUGCCCUUAAUGUUCUGACGUA
rnacentral:rRNA from 1 species